GAUGAACGCUGGCGGCGUGCCUAAUACAUGCAAGUCGAGCGAACAGAUGAGGAGCUUGCUCCUCUGUCGUUAGCGGCGGACGGGUGAGUAACACGUGGAUAACCUACCUAUAAGACUGGGAUAACUUCGGGAAACCGGAGCUAAUACCGGAUAAUAUAUUGAACCGCAUGGUUCAAUAGUGAAUGACGGUUUUGCUGUCACUUAUAGAUGGAUCCGCGCCGCAUUAGCUAGUUGGUAAGGUAACGGCUUACCAAGGCAACGAUGCGUAGCCGACCUGAGAGGGUGAUCGGCCACACUGGAACUGAGACACGGUCCCGACUCCUACGGGAGGCAGCAGUAGGGAAUCUUCCGCAAUGGGCGAAAGCCUGACGGAGCAACGCCGCGUGAGUGAUGAAGGUCUUCGGAUCGUAAAACUCUGUUAUUAGGGAAGAACAAAUGUGUAAGUAACUAUGCACGUCUUGACGGUACCUAAUCAGAAAGCCACGGCUAACUACGUG
rnacentral:rRNA from 1 species